rnacentral:rRNA from 1 species
AUGUGGUUUAAGUUCGUAUGAUACGACGAGGAACCUUACCUGGGCGUCGAACGUAAGAUGACUGUAGGUGAAAGCUUACAUCUCUUCGGAGCAUUUUACGAGGUGCUGCAUGGUUGUCGUCAGCUCGUGCCGUGAGGUGUCGGGUUAAGUCCCAUAACGAGCGCAACCCCUACCUUUAGUUGCCAUCAGGUUAAGCUGGGGACUCUAAAGGAACUGCCUACGCAAGUAGUGAGGAAGGCGGGGAUGACGUCAAAUCAGCACGGCCCUUACGUCCAGGGCUACACACGUGCUACAAUGGCCGAUACAGAGGGCAGCUACCUGGUGACAGGAUGCAAAUCUCCAAAGUCGGUCUCAGUUCGGAUCGGAGUCUGCAACCCGACUCCGUGAAGUUGGAUUCGCUAGUAAUCGCGCAUCAGCCAUGGCGCGGUGAAUACGUUCCCGGGCCUU